rnacentral:rRNA from 1 species
GACGAACGCUGGCGGCGUGCCUAAUACAUGCAAGUCGAACGCAGUGGGGACUGGUGAGUAACAUGUGGGUAACCUCCCAUCAGAGGGGAUAAACCUUGGAAACAGGUGCUAAACCGAUAUGGCUGGAUGGACCGUUGGUGCAUUAGCUAGUUGGGGAGGUAACGGCUCACCAAGGCCACGAUGCAUAGCCGAGCUGAGAGGGUGAUCGGCCACACUGGGACUGAGACACGGCCCAGACGCCUACGGGAGGCAGCAGUAGGGAAUAUUCGGCAAUGGACGAAAGUCUGACCGAGCAACGCCGCGUGAGUGAAGAAGGUUUUCGGAUCGUAAAACUCUGUUGUUAGAGAGGCGGUAUCUAACCAAAAAGCCACGGCUAACUACGUGCCAGCAGCCGCGGUAAUAC